rfam:Fistulina hepatica ATCC 64428 unplaced genomic scaffold FISHEscaffold_451, whole genome shotgun sequence.
GGGUCCCUGGCGCAAUGGUUAGCGCAUUCGGCUUCGAUCGCCACUCCGUCGUAACGACGGGAGAAUACCGAAAGGCUGCAGGUUCGAGUCCUGCGGGGCUCG